rnacentral:rRNA from 1 species
UACGUAGGGGGCAAGCGUUGUCCGGAAUCAUUGGGCGUAAAGCGCACGUAGGCGGCUUUCUAAGUCGGGGGUGAAAUCCUGGAGCUCAACUCCAGAACUGCCUUCGAUACUGGAGAGCUCGAGUCCGGGAGAGGUGAGUGGAACUGCGAGUGUAGAGGUGAAAUUCGUAGAUAUUCGCAAGAACACCAGUGGCGAAGGCGGCUCACUGGCCCGGUACUGACGCUGAGGUGCGAAAGCGUGGGGAGCAAACAGGG